rnacentral:lncRNA from 1 species
CUUGCCCUCUGAGUCAGUCUGAAUCCAGGGAACAGGGGACAUCUCCAAAGAGCUUUGCAACUCUGGGCCACAUAACCUCCCGAUCAGAGAGAUUAAUGAGACCGCUGGAGGACAGAAAGCCAAUCAGUGCAUUUGCUAUGAAGAGGAGGGUCAUCAGAGAAGGGAGACAUCCCUGAUGCUUCCAAGGGAAGCCACAUGGUCAAGCAAGGCCUGGACCCAUCCUAGCGCAAAUGGCACUAGCAGAACUGAGAAGCUGCUGUAAGUUCCCCCAGGACUCCCAGGGAAACUCAGCUGACUGUUAACAAUAGAUAGAAACAAAAGUCAGUUUGACUUGCUUCAUCUUAAACACUUAGCAGACAGUCAAAGCCAAAACACAGCUAUUCCCGGGCAUUUUAAAUAAUAAUAAUGAUAAUAAUAGUUAAAUGUAACUUCCAAAAAUAAGCAAAAUGGAGGCUGCAAAAGAGAUUCUCAGACAAAAAUGCCUGAUAACUAUUAAAAGGAACUGCCAGAGUAGUUUUUAGUUUGAGGCCUACAGAUAUUCCUAACCUACACAGGUAGGCUUAGUGUUUGUUAGUAUGGUUAUCCAGCCCUAAGUAACAGAAUUAAAGAUUUCUCUAUUAGACACAGGUCAUACUAGUAAAAGGAUUUUGCAAGAUCAGAUGACAUUAAAUUAUUAAACUGUAUCUUAAGGGGAAGGACAUCUGUAACCCUAAAAAUUAAAUGUUAUGUUUACAGUCCUGGUAACUGGGGAUGUUAAAGCCUGGUGAGGGAACUUAUGUACAGUGACAUCUUCCAGCUGCUGCAACACUUAUUCAGUACUCAUGUUUUUUGUUUCUCUCAUAGAAGCACCCAUCCCCAGAUGACAACCUGUUUUUCCCCAACCAGACCUCAAAUGGAACUGACUUCUAAAAGGGAACUCAUGUCCCCCAUGUCGUUGUCCCCCAUGUCGUCAUCCCCCACGUCGUCCAUCGACCCCCAUGUCAUGGAGCCCCCUCAUGUUCGACACCCCUUUUCAGCUCUGAAGCAGCCAGAACGAGCCAUCGCCCCUUCUCACCCCUUCUCCUUACAGCAAUAAAGUUUCUAAAAUUAGGGGAAAUAAAGCCAGAAAUGGAUAGGCAGUGUAGAUAGGUAAAUCGAGUCAGGUUGGAUCUUAGAAGGCCAAUUUUAAGUGAGUUUGGGAAGUUAAAGACUGUCCCCUGAGGAUUACUCUUUACCAAGAUGUAGAGUCUGCCCAAAUAGGCCCCCAACUGAGGAGACCAUGAUUGGUUCCCAAGUUUCCAGACAAAGGGGGGAAUGAAAAACCAGCCUCUACCUCAGAGCAAAGCCUGUCCAAGGAAGGGACAUGACCUUUGUCCUUGGAAAAACCCACAGAGCACUCCUAGGCACAUUCCCACCCUGCUAAGUUGUUUAUCUACAAAUAACAGGAGAGAUCUGCUGCGCCAGGUGUCCCUGACUCAGUCAGGCUAGGUGGGGACCCAUAGCAACCCCCUAGCAGCCACCAAUCAGCAUGAGACAGGGAAAUACCUGGGAUGCCAGAUGACCUGUCCCAGUGGUUUAUGGUGGUUGAUAACAAGUUGGGAAACCAUGUAGUUCAGCAUGUACACCCCUCUUGGCUUAAACCAAUCAGUUCAAAUGAAUACCCCUUUUGUACUGACCAAUUACCCCUACCCAACUUGUUCCCGCCAGUGAAUGUGCUAAUCAUGUUUUAGAGUUGUUAUUUGAUUUUCCUGAGGUGUGUGAUGAUUUGCUAUGAUGUAUGUGAAGUCCCUGCCCUCUCCAAAGAAUGUAUAAAACUGCUGCAAACCCUGGGCUCGGGGCCUCUCAGCGUCACCAGUUGCUGUGUGUGCGCGCGGAGGAUGGAGCUAGCUCGCAAUAAACACCUCUUUGCUG